CCCGGGUGUCCUUCACUGCAGUCAGCUCCUCGGAGCGUUUGGUAAGGCCCUCGGUCUUACAGAACCAGAAACAGAAUGAGAUGAGAAGAAUCUGGAAUCUAACUCCAGAAGGAGAGGCAAGCAAUGUAGAGCCCGAUAACGUUUUGCUGGCGAUCUACUUUUAGAAGGAGCUACCCGAUAAGAGUAGGUGGAUUACAGGCCCGGCUACAUCCCACGGUUAAACAGCAGGUGAACUGGUUACAUUGGAUUCUGGGAGGACCAACAUAGAUACUUUACUGAAAAAAAAACUUUAAUGCCAUCUUUAUUUAUAAAAGAAUUCUGGGAAAAGCUGGAAGCAUUUUGCAGAUUUUAAUCUCAUUAAUCCUCACAGUAACCUUGAGUGAGUUUAUACAAUUAUACAAUAGCCUUCUUUGUUUAGAGGAUCAGCUCUUAGAGUCCUCAAAGGAGUCACUUUGUUUGCAGUUGUUUCUUUGUCUUGGCUUAAUUCAUAAAUGUUAUAAUGUUCUUUGAAAUAGAUCUAGGAUAAUCCUAAACUAUUAGUAAGUUAAUAAUCACUGUUCAUUUUGGACAUACUAACCUCACCACUAAAAAUAUCUUAGAAAUGACCUUACAUACCAGCUAUACAAAGAAAGAAAGGAACUUUCUCCUCCUUAAUUGUAGCCAGGCAUGGUUAGAGAAAUCUACAGGCAUGCUUACUUUAAAAUCUAAGGGAUAACCAGGCUGGGGAUUAACCUCAGCACCACAGUGCCUGCCUGGCAAGUGUGAGGUCCUGAGUUCAAGAAAAAAAAAUAUAUAAGGGAUAGCAAAAUGGAAGGCAGGAAAGCAAUGAACUUGCUUACAGGGACCCCCACUUAUGUCUCCUGCCUGUCCUAGGAGGGACCCAGCUCUCUCCUUGGUUCUGGGCCCCCCUUCUGCUCCCUCAGAGGAGGGAGGGCUAAGUUGAAAGCCUGCUGCCUUGUCAAAUGGAGCAACCCAGAGAAGAGGGUUCCCUCCACUCACCGCAGCUGGGUGUAGCAUUGCUAACCUUGUUUUCAGCACGGCCCACAGCUUCCAUCCCUCCCGGGAAGGUGCAGGGCACACAUCUCAGACAUCCCAGGGGACCCGGGCAGCCACAUCACAUACUCCAUGGCAA